CCCUCCCGCUCCUGCCCGCUCUCGCCUCUGUCCCCCCGUCCCGUGUCUCCUCUCCUCCCCUCCCGCCGACCACCUACCUACCGCCGGAUCUCCCCGUCGAGCUCGCUCCUCGCCGUCGCUCUUACAGGCGCCACGCGCUCCCGUUCUCCUUCCCCAGCCCGGCGACGGUGGAGGCGCGCGGCCAUCCCUCCCCGGGCGGUGGUGGAGGAAGGGCGGGGCCUCCACGGUUGUCGGCGACCUCCUCCCCGACCAUCGACCCCUUUGUUAGGGCGCGGGGGUGGUUGUCGAUGGUGUCUCUCUCACCCGUUCUUCUCCUUGCACGUCCUCUCCACGUCGUUGGGCAGCGCCGCUGCUGGCUCUCUCCUCGGGGCUGGGCUGGGGCGUCCUAGGGAGGGAUUGGGCUGCGAUGGAUUUCCUCUCCACAUCGUUGGACAGCGCCGCCGCUGGCUCUCUCCUCAGGGCUGGGCAGGGGCGUCCUAGGGAGGGAUUGGGCUGCGAUGGAUUUCGUGCGGCACGAGGCUGGCUGAGGUCUAUUGCUGCUGUCGUUUCUUUCUCCACGAAGAUUCCGAUGAUUUGUGCUCCGGCUCUGCUUCCAGUGAGUGCGCUGAUUCCUACUAGCGGCCCCUCCUCUUCUCCAUGAGCAAGCACUCCGGCCAUAGCCUCGUCUCUUCUCCUCUCCGGUCGCCGUGGAGCGUUGGAGCCCUUGAAGCAUUCGAAUGGAACAUGUAUUGGCAUGCUCGGUUCAUCUUAGGUGAGUGUGAAUGUUGAAGUGUGAUUUCGUAGCAUUAGGCUUGCAGUUUAAGAGAUCUUCCAAUCAAUUUUUUUUGGAUUUUGGGGAUGUGUGCAGUGGAAAACUAUAGAUAAAUAAGAAUUCUUUGUUCUUCUUUCAUGUUGGAGAGAGUGACAGUACCUACAUUCCUGUUAGUGGGCUGUAUAUAUUCUAUAACUUCUUGCUGUUUUCUUUCUUACGGUAAUUUUUUUGACAUUUGUAACAGCAAAAUGAUAUGUCAAGAUGCUCUGUUUUUAUGGCACUUUUAGAGAUUUCUCCUCAUAUUAUAGAUGGUGUGCGAUAUACUUCUUGACAUAUCCCUAGGCAUCUUGACAUAUCCCUGGACAGGUUCUCAUGUUCAGCGCAUCCAGUUUGGUUGAUUAUUUUGGGAGGCUUAUUUUGGAAAGGCUUUGAGAGGCCGUCUGAAUCACCACCUUGUGUUAAUAGAAUUAUACAUAGUUUUGUACAGCCAUUUCAUUUUGCAUAGGGCUACAAAGUACAAUCAAACAAUCUGCAGCUUAGCAGUACUGUAUUUCCUGGAUUCUCCAAUUUGGGGUUUGAGCAUUGAGGCGUUGAAUAUGUCUAUAUGAACUGUAGUUAUAUAUUACCUGCUACUCGAGCUGGCUCUCUCUCUCUCCGACGUCUUGGUUUGCAGGCCGCUGCGUGGUGAGGUACUGACUAAGGAGCGCGAAUCGCCAGCACCACGUACCAGAUGAUGCCGUCAAGGUCGGCGUCAUAGUGACUGUCGAUGACUUGCAGAUGAUUGGUGGGCAGAAUUAAAGAGGGAUUACACAAGUAAGGAGAUACACCUGAGCAAGCAGCUAGACCCAUGGACAUAUACUCUGCAUGGGAAGUUGCCUACUUGGUAUGAGCUUCAGACGCAUCGGCAUCGCUACACCUUUCUAUGUUCUUUUGUUAAUAGUCUGCCCAUAAUUAUAACAGCGAAAUGCAUGAAUGUAUAUAGCUUUGCACCAAGCCACUUUACUUUAUCUAUGAUCUGUCAUUUUUGUGAGUCGCAGAUGAUUUUGGCAUUGAUAUUCUCAUGCAAGCCAUCCUAUCUUUGCAAGCCUACAGAUAGAAUACACUCAGGGCACCACAUGUUUAAGUUGUCACUCCUAUGUUUAUAAGUUUAUAGGAAGCAAACAUUUUCAUUAUCUUUGGCACUUAUAUUUUCAUUAUAUUAACUUGUGCAGCGGAGUUUUAAAAUCAAAACGGGGCAAUUCUCUACUGUGACAAAGUGAAGAGAAAACUGAUGCAUCAAAUUAAUACAGAAAUUCAGUUCAUAUGAAGCAGAAGAAAGGCAUGCAGUACCUUACAUUGACAAUGAUUGUUAGCCCAUUGUGGUACUUCAAAUCUGAUAAAGAAUAUAUUUUAUGACCGAGACAUGGCAUUUGGAGAAUCUCAGUUCUAAUAUCUACAUGAAUCAACUUUUAUUUUGUCACGCUACUGAAUGUUCUGGUAUGGGACUAUCUAUUCUGUGUAGCUCUUAUAAGUAAUAAUGAAAUGAUCUAUAUGUAAAGUUUUCUUAUUUUAAUUAUAUUAUGUUGUUGAUGAUGCA